rnacentral:rRNA from 1 species
UACGUAGGGGGCAAGCGUUUGUCCGGAGUACUGGGCGUAAAGCGCACGCAGGCGGUCUUUUAAGUUUGGAGUGACAGUUGGUGGCUUAACUGCCAAAGUGCUUUGAAAACUGAUCGACUUGAGGGCUUCAGAGGGACACGGAAUUCCGGGUGGAGUGGUGAAAUGCGUAGAUAUUGGGAAGAACACCGAUGGCGAAGGCAGCCAUCUGGACCGACACUGACGCUGAGGCGCGAAAAGCGUGGGGAGCAAACAGG